AUCUCUCCCUUUUCUCUCACACCCGAUCAACUCCACUCAGAUUUUUCCAAUCAGUCUAAACCUAACCCCCAAAAUUUUCAUCUCCCACUCAAUCCUAUCGCUUCUUGCUUCCGUCUCCGCCGUCAUCUCUAUCGCUUCCAUCUCCGACGUCAUCUCUAUCGCUUCUUGCUUCCGUCUCCGCCGUCAUCUCUAUCGCUUCCAUCUCCGACGUCAUCUCUAUCGCUUCCAUCUCCGUCGAGUUCAGUUUCCGCUGUCAUUCUACUCCAUCGAUCUCCACCGUUUUACUCCUCCGACGUCUCCUCCAUCACGGAUCUGAACUUUUAACGAACACUUCCUGUAUCAGCCGCCACUUUGUCUCCUCCGGCAACGAGGUUCUUCUCAUAGGUAAUCAACAUCAAACCCUUCAGCAAUUAAUGGUGACUAUAAAGUAUACUCAAAUUGCUGAGAUUUUAGGAGCUGUAAAACCAUUUGAGAGUUGGUUCUUGAUAACAACCAUGAACCAUUUUAUGUGUUCUAAUGUGGAGAGCAGAAUAUUGAAUAGCUUCAUCAUGAUGCAGAAACAGGGGAAGUGUGAUUUCUUACCGAGGGAUAAUCAUAUUUACUCUUUAAAUCUAUAAACAGCAGCAUCGUAAUGAAGGAGAUGUUAGUGAGGGGUGUUGGUUGACUUGAUUUCUUGGACUCAAAAUCUGACGGAUUGAAGACGGUGGUGAAAGGGUGACUGUUCGAUGUAGAAAAUCAGUAUGCGGGUUGCGAAUGUUGUGUUCAUUAUUUUCUCAAAGGAUUUACAUGAUGUUGUGUUAUUGCCUCCUUUGUUGGUUGCUGAUUUUGGUAAUGAUAUCAAUCACUAUGCAACAUUGAUUGAUCCAUGUAACAAUCAAUUUGAUGUUGCGGUUGAAAAAGGAAAAGGUAGUAUAUAUGCUAAACCUAAGGAUUGUUCGCUUUGCGUGAUUUCUAUGAUAUCCGUUUCGGUGCUUGGAUCACUAUGGUAUAUGUUGGGUUGGGUCAGUUUGGAAUAACCAUCUGUCAACUCCCAUUUUUUAUUAUAACUUUUAUAGACAAACUUACUUAUUAUUUCUAUUUUUUCUUGAUUGAUAGAAGUUGGUCUACAAUGGUUUUUGUGAAUCUGCACUGGAUAAAAGGACCACGGCUUUGGUUUUGAUAGACGAUUGUGGCAACAAGUGGAACUGCACUCUUUUUUUAGGAUCUAUAUCGUACUGUCACAGGAAAAUUGCUGGUGAGUGGAAAAAGAUGAUAGCUGCGCACAGAAUUUGUGAAGUUGCACAAAUCAAGCCGGGUGCUCUGAUGGUUGGCAAAAAUGAAAUUGUUUACCUUGAAUUCAUCCCAAUUUUAUGUCUCUGCAUGCUACUGUUUUGUGUGCAGGUGACUUUUCAAGGUGAAUCUAUUGCAUUGUUCUUCCCUUUUUUGUUUUUAUUUUAUUUUCUUAUACCUUUUGUUCUUCUUAAAUUUUGUCACUACCUAUUAAUUUUAUAUUUAUGGAAUCAGUGGAAAAUUUAUUUACUUUACUUUCAUUCAUCUUAUAUUUUAGGAUGACUUGAAAUAUACGUAUGUGGUUAUGUACUUCAACUCAAUUGCCUUUCUUAGGGUCUUAUGCAAUUUACACUCAUCACCAAAUUUAUCAGUUAUGUAUAUUGACUAUGAAUUCAAAAAAAUGAAAUAAAUGGAGCACUUGAUUUAUUUAUCAUUGUUAUUGAAAGCAAUACAAUAACUAUAAAAUAGUGUCAUAACAGAGAGUGAAGUAGUAUAUAGUAGUGAUUUUAAAAUUAGUAUUGAAAAGUAUAGCAUUGCAUUUAGAAAGUUGUAUUCUUAUGUGUAAUAUUAAAAAGUAAAGUUGUUUUUAUAGGUAAAAUAUAUGAUCUGAAUAUUUAGCUUAUGAAUAUUGUUUUGGCAGAAAUGAUUUCAUUUUUUCAAAGUUGGUUGUGCCGGCACUAUCUAGGACUAUGUGAAGUAAACAUGAAGAAUAGAGCAAAUACAAGAAGAAUUUCUUUCGGAAAAUUUGUCCUACUGCUUAUUAAUUUACAUAUCCAGCAGGUGCUAACAACUUCAAAUAGGCACCAUGGUUGUUAGUAUAAUUAAAGGAUGGAUUUAAGGUGUUUCAAGCUUGGAGAAAUACUUUUCUUAGGAGUAGUGGUUUAUGAUGAUUGACUGUGGAGUAACUUUGAGAGUAGAAUUAGGAACUGAGCAGACAAAAAAAACCAUCAUUAAAGUUAGAAGUCCAUAAUUUGUCUCUCAAAGUUACGAUUUUUCUAACACAGUCAAACUAUAUAUCAAAAGUAAAACUUUCCAGGCUCACAGGCAGAACGGAAAGUAGAAGAUAAAAAACCAAAGCAUCAUGACAACAAUAGUGCCUAUUUGAUCUUUUGUUAGCAACCAUGCUUUAUGCAAAGGUGCAGGGCACAUGUAAAAGUGACGUUGCAUAAAAAUGACAAUGAGAAACAGUUCAACAAGCCUUUGAUAUCAUGAGUGAAAAAUGCGGUUGAAGUUUGAUCAAAGUUCCAAGAGUGUGGCAGCAGAUUUUGUCCUAAGAGAUAGAUUGUAUUAGUGAUAAUGUUUGGCAAUUGACAAGUGGUAUUAGAAACUCAAGAAAUGAGCUGAUAGAAGUAGUCAAGGAUUGUGUGUAGUGCUGCUAAAUUUGAGAGUUUGUAUGGCUAAAAUAUGUAAUUUAUACAUUGAGAAUAAGAAACAGAAAAAUUGUACUUGAUAUAAAUAAAUUUAGUGAGGCUCGAUCGUUUUUCUUUA